rnacentral:lncRNA from 10 species
ACAGUAUGAGAUCUUCAUGAUUCUGGACCAUAAGGAUUCCAAAUAGGCUGUUCACUUAUGAGUAGGCCUGUAACACGGACGUGUGAGAAUAAACGCCAGAGAAAAAUUUUUGUCCAUCUACAUAGUUCUGAAAACAACCAAGAAGAGGAGGAGUAUUCUUUUAAAUGACAUUCUUUCUGAGCAGGGGCUUAUCAUCCAUCUGUGUUCACAAAGAAUGAAGUGUUCUGUUGUUUAUCCCUGAUGCUGCAACACUGGAACAUUCUUCAUAGCUCUGAAUCAUGCCAGAUGGUGACAGGGAAAUUGUCAUAGAAACUUGGGACCACAAAUGCAUUGGUAGUUGAGGCUGGGCAACACUGGAGACCCAUUUGGAUGCUUCCAUGGGAGUGGUGUCCUGGAAGAGAGGCAAAGACCACCUUCACCACUGGAGCAAACCAUUGACAGCAGCAUGGAAGCUCUGGCCUCUGAACAUAGGACAAGGCAUUUCCAAGCAUGUUCUGCUCUAUGAAGGUCAGGACUCGUUCUCUUUUCCUGUCUGCAUCUUCAGCACCUAGCACAGUACCCAGCCCCAAAGGGUGCUGAAUGGAUGAUGGAGUAAGGAACAUUCUGGAGUGUGAUGAGGGCCACUAGGUAACAGCACCUCUAAUUCAUGGGUACCUUGGUCACUGAAAAGAACUAAGGAAUGCCUGCAUAAAAAUCUGUACAAGGAUGCUUAUAGUAGCUUUAUUCAUAAUUUCCAAAACCUGAAGGCCACCAAGAUGUUCUUCAGUAGAUGAAUAAAUGAACGUGGUACAUCUAGGCAAUGGAAUAUUAUUCAGCACUAAAGAGAAACAAGCUGUUAAUCCACGAAAAGACAUGGAGGAUAUUUAAAUGCACAUUACCAGGUGGAAGAAGCCAAUCUGUACGUGUGAUUCUGACUAUAUGCCAUCCUGGAAAAGGCAAAACUAUUGGGAC